rnacentral:rRNA from 1 species
CAAACGACUCUCGGCAACGGAUAUCUCGGCUCAUGCAUCGAUGAAGAACGUAGCGAAAUGCGAUACUUGGUGUGAAUUGCAGAAUCCCGUGAACCAUCGAGUUUUUGAACGCAAGUUGCGCCCGAAGCCAUUUGGCCGAGGGCACGUCUGCCUGGGCGUCACGC